AUGGAACAAUGGUUCCAGUUGGAGGAAAUUGUCAAAAGCAUUACCUUAACUGCCGAGCCGGAUGCCCUGAUUUGGUAGCUGGACAAUAAGGGGAAGUAUUCCUCCAGCUCCCUCUAUCAUGUUAUCAACUUUAGAGGGGUUCAACCCAUGUUUAUCCCUGCUGUCUGGAAAUUGAGAGUUCCCCGUAAAAUUCAUGUAUUUCUCUGGUUUCUCUCCAAAAACAAAUUUAUGACUAGGGAUAACCUUAGGAAGAGACACAUCAUCAAACCCCUUGAUUGUGUUUACUGCUUGGAACAAGAGUCUUGUUCUCACCUAUUUUUUGAAUGUAUAGUUGCUAAACAUCUCUGGGCCCACAUUGAGGAAUAUUUCUCUAGUCAGAUUGGCUCAUCCUUCGAAUCCGUCGCUAGGAUUGCUACCAAAAAGUGCUCAGUUUUAAAUAUUGUUCGCCCAACUGUCCUUUGGUGCCUCUGGAAAUAUAGAAAUGCUAUGAUUUUCAGUAACACCUCCUGGAUUUCCAUUCCGCAGGUCUUGAGGUUGAUCAGGAACAUGGUGAGGAACUGGGCGAUUCUCUCCUCCGGAUCGGACAAGGACAAGUUGAUGAGCUUCAUGGAAACCCUAACAAGAUCCCUCCAGAAACCAUUGGCGAUCACUUGUGGCUGA
rnacentral:rRNA from 1 species